ensembl:snRNA U6 U6 spliceosomal RNA
GUGUUCGUUUUGUCAGCACUUAUACUAAAACUGGGAUGAUCCAGAGAAGAUUAGUGUGGCCCUUGAGCAAGGAUGACAUGCAGGUUUGUGAAAUGUUCCAUAUUAAA